GAUGAACGCUGGCGGCGUGCCUAAUACAUGCAAGUCGAGCGACCGGACGAGAACCUUGCUUCUCUGAUGUUAGCGCCGACCGGGUGAUUACAACUUGGAUACCCUCCUUUUAAGACUGGGAUACCUUCGGGAACCCGGACCUAAUCCCGGUUAAUUUUUUAAACCCCAUGUUUCAAAUGUAAAAGCCGGUCUUGCUGUCCUUUUUAGAUGUAUCCGCGCUGCAUUAGCUAGUUGUUAAGGUAACGGCUUACCAAGGCAACGAUGCAUAGCCGACCUGAGAGGGUGAUAGGCCACACUGGAACUGAGACACGGUCCAGACUCCUACGGGAGGCGGCAGUAGGGAAUCUUCCGCAAUGGGCGAAAGCCUGACGGAGCAACGCCGCGUGAGUGAUGAAGGUCUUCGGAUCGUAAAACUCUGUUAUUAGGGAAGAACAGAUGUGUAAGUAACUGUGCACAUCUUGACGGUACCUAAUCAGAAAGCCACGGCUAACUACGUG
rnacentral:rRNA from 1 species